GCUAGACGUCUCUUCAUCGCAUUCACAUAACAUCUCCGUUUAUCACACUGACGAUUCACAGAGGAUAAUGCAUGCGACAUCGAUGUUAAAUCGAAUGAAUCUUUUUUCUUAGUCUUUGGGACAAUGGUCUCCACUAGAAGUGGCUUCUCGCUUGCAUUGUUGGCAGCCUCUUUGAGCAAACUUAGAUCAAACGAAGAGUCGCA